GACGUAGGGCGCGAGCGUUGUCCGGAUUUAUUGGGCGUAAAGAGCUCGUAGGCGGCUUGUCGCGUCGUCCGUGAAAACCUGGGGCUCAACUCCAGGCUUGCGGUCGAUACGGGCAGGCUCGAGUUCGGUAGGGGAGACUGGAAUUCCAGGUGUAGCGGUGAAAUGCGUAGAUAUCUGGAGGAAUACCGGUGGCGAAGGCGGCAUCCUGGACCGGCAUUGACGCUGAGGAGCGAAAGCCAGGGGAGCAAACGGG
rnacentral:rRNA from 1 species